ACGGAAGGCAGCCGUGGGGAAUAUUGCACAAUGGGCGAAAGCCUGAUGCAGCGACGCCGCGUGAGUGAAGAAGUAUUCCGGUAUGUAAAGCUCUAUCAGCAGGGAAGAAAAUGACGGUACCUGACUAAGAAGCCCCGGCUAACUACGUGCCAGCAGCCGCGGUAAUACGUAGGGGGCAAGCGUUAUCCGGAUUUACUGGGUGUAAAGGGAGCGCAGACGGCAAGGCAAGUCUGAAGUGAAAGCUCGGGGCUCAACCCCGGAACUGCUUUGGAAACUGUUUAGCUAGAGUGCAGGAGAGGUAAGUGGAAUUCCUAGUGUAGCAGUGAAAUGCUUAGAUAUUAGGAGGAACACCAGUGGCGAAGGCGGCUUACUGGACUGUAACUGACGUUGAGGCUCGAAAGCGUGGGGAGCAAACAGGAUUAGAUACCCUGGUA
rnacentral:rRNA from 1 species